rnacentral:rRNA from 1 species
UGCAAGUCGAACGAAGUAGCAAUACUUAGUGGCAGACGGGUGAGUAACAUGUAGGUAUCUGCCCUUUGGCCUGGAAUAACACGAGGAAACUUGUGCUAAUACCGGAUAAGUCUUUACGGAGAAAGCUUUAUGCACCAUUGGAUGAGCCUGCACUUGAUUAGUUUGUUGGUGGGGUAAUGGCCUACCAAGACUUUGAUCAAUAGCUGAUUUGAGAGGAUGAUCAGCCACAUUGGGACUGAGACACGGCCCAAACUCCUACGGGAGGCAGCAGUGGGGAAUCUUGCACAAUGGAGGAAACUCUGAUGCAGCGAUGCCGCGUGAGUGAAGAAGGCCUUUGGGUUGUAAAGCUCUUUCGUCGGGGAAGAAAAUGACUGUACCCGAAUAAGAAGGUCCGGCUAACUUCGUGCCAGCAGCCGCGGUAAUACGAAGGGACCUAGCGUAGUUCGGAGUUACUGGGCUUAAAGAGUUCGUAGGUGGUUGAAAAAGUUGGUGGUGAAAUCCCAGAGCUUAACUCUGGAACUGCCAUCAAAACUUUUCAGCUAGAGUAUGAUAGAGGAAAGCAGAAUUUCUAGUGUAGAGGUGAAAUUCGUAGAUAUUAGAAAGAAUACCAAUUGCGAAGGCAGCUUCCUGGAUCAUUACUGACACUGAGGAACGAAAGCAUGGGUAGCGAAGAGGAUUAGAUACCCUCGUAGUCCAUGCCGUAAACGAUGUGUGUUAGACGUUGGAAAUUUAUCUUCAGUGUCGCAGCAAAAGCGAUAAACACACCGCCUGGGGAGUACGACCGCAAGGUUAAAACUCAAAUGAAUUGACGGGGACCCGCACAAGUAGUGGAGCAUGU